UAGGGAAUCUUCCACAAUGGACGCAAGUCUGAUGGAGCAACGCCGCGUGAGUGAAGAAGGUUUUCGGACCGUAAAGCUCUGUUGUUGGUGAAGAAGGAUAGAGGUAGUAACUGGCCUUUAUUUGACGGUAAUCAACCAGAAAGUCACGGCUAACUACGUGCCAGCAGCCGCGGUAAUCGUAGGUGGCAAGCGUUGUCCGGAUUUAUUGGGCGUAAAGCGAGCGCAGGCGGAAGAAUAAGUCUGAUGUGAAAGCCCUCGGCUUAACCGAGGAAUUGCAUCGGAAACUGUUUUCUUGAGUGCAGAAGAGGAGAGUAGAACUCCAUGUGUAGCGGUGAAAUGCGUAGAUAUAUGGAAGAAUACCAGUGGCGAAGGCGGCUCUCUGGUCUGCAACUGACGCUGAGGCUCGAAAGCAUGGGUAGCGAACAGGAUUAGAUACCCUGGUAGUCCAUGCCGUAAACGAUGAGUGCUAAGUGUUGGGAGGCUUCCGCCUCUCAGUGCUGCAGCUAACGCAUUAAGCACUCCGCCUGGGGGAGUACGACCGCAAGGUUGAAAC
rnacentral:rRNA from 1 species